GAGGGUAUUGUGAAAGGACAGUCUGGGAGAGCGCUUGACUGGCAGUCAAGAGGUCAGCGGUUCAAUCCCGCUUAUCUCCACCA
rnacentral:tRNA from 1 species